rnacentral:rRNA from 1 species
UACACUUGACAUCCCUUGCAUUACCCUUAAUCGGGGAAAUCUCUUCGGAGACAAGGUGACAGGUGGUGCAUGGUU